GACAGAGGAUGCAAGCGUUAUCCGGAAUGAUUGGGCGUAAAGCGUCUGUAGGUGGCUUUUUAAGUCCGCCGUCAAAUCCCAGGGCUCAACCCUGGGAUGCCGGUGGAUACUGUCGGGCUCGAGUCCGGAAGAGGCGAGUGGAAUUCCUGGUGUAGCGGUGAAAUGCGCAGAUAUCAGGAGGAACACCAAUUGCGAAGGCAGC
rnacentral:rRNA from 1 species